rnacentral:rRNA from 1 species
UACGUAGGGGCAAGCGUUGUCCGGAUUUAUUGGGCUGUUGAAAGGGCGGCAGUAGGUGGCCCGGUCAGUUCGUGGUGAAAGCGCGGGGCUCAACUCCGACGUCGGCCUGAAUAACUGUCUGGGCUGGAGCACUGUAUGAGGCAGGCGGAAUUCCGGGUGUAGCGGUGGAAUGCGUAGAGAUCCGGAAGAACACCGGUGGCCGAAGGGCGGC